GACGAACGCUGGCGGCGUGCUUAACACAUGCAAGUCGAACGGAAAGGCCCUGCUUUUGUGGGGUGCUCGAGUGGCGAACGGGUGAGUAACACGUGAGUAACCUGCCCUUGACUUUGGGAUAACUUCAGGAAACUGGGGCUAAUACCGGAUAGGAGCUCCUGCUGCAUGGUGGGGGUUGGAAAGUUUCGGCGGUUGGGGAUGGACUCGCGGCGUAUCAGCUUGUUGGUGGGGUAGUGGCUUACCAAGGCUUUGACGGGUAGCCGGCCUGAGAGGGUGACCGGCCACAUUGGGACUGAGAUACGGCCCAGACUCCUACGGGAGGCAGCAGUGGGGAAUAUUGCACAAUGGGCGGAGGCCUGAUGCAGCAACGCCGCGUGCGGGAUGACGGCCUUCGGGUUGUAAACCGCUUUCGCCUGUGACGAAGCGUGAGUGACGGUAAUGGGUAAAGAAGCACCGGCUAACUACGUG
rnacentral:rRNA from 1 species